UACGAAGGGGGCUAGCGUUGCUCGGAAUUACUGGGCGUAAAGGGCGCGUAGGCGGACAGUUAAGUUGGGGGUGAAAGCCCGGGGCUCAACCUCGGAAUUGCCUUCAAUACUGGCUGUCUUGAGUGUGAGAGAGGUGUGUGGAACUCCGAGUGUAGAGGUGAAAUUCGUAGAUAUUCGGAAGAACACCAGUGGCGAAGGCGACACACUGGCUCACUACUGACGCUGAGGCGCGAAAGCGUGGGGAGCAAACAGG
rnacentral:rRNA from 3 species